GGCGCCAUCGUCUAACGGUUAGGACACAGGAUUCUCAUUCCUGUAAUAGGGGUUCGAUUCCCCUUGGCGCUACCA
rnacentral:tRNA from 1 species